GGCCAUAUGGCGCAAUGGUAGCGCGUUGCUCUCCUACUGUCUGAUCAUACAUAUUCUGUGGUCCAGUGAAGCAGAGGUUGCAGAUUCGAGUUCUGCUAUGGUCG